GGGGCCUAAGGACACUCUGCUUGGCCAGGCUUCAAGGCCGAAUGGCUGGCAGUGAAGGACGAGCGUCUGUACGUGGGCGGCCUGGGCAAGGAGUGGACGACCACUACGGGUGAUGUGGUGAACGAGAACCCGGAGUGGGUGAAGGUGGUGGGCUACAAGGGCAGCGUGGACCACGAGAACUGGGUGUCCAACUACAACGCCCUGCGGGCUGCUGCCGGCAUCCAGCCGCCAGGCUACCUCAUCCAUGAGUCUGCCUGCUGGAGUGACACGCUGCAGCGCUGGUUCUUCCUGCCGCGCCGCGCCAGCCAGGAGCGCUACAGCGAGAAGGACGACGAGCGCAAGGGCGCCAACCUGCUGCUGAGCGCCUCC
rnacentral:lncRNA from 1 species